UUAAUAUUUCCUUCUCUGGGGAGUUGACUUCCCUCAAAUUUGUACAGGUCUGUGAUUUUAUGAUUCAUACACAUCUUUCCUUCUAUCAGAUAAAGAAGAAAAAAUAUUUGAUAGAGAUAGGAUGAGCAGAAGACAUACUUGUACUGGAAGGAGAGAACAGAAAAAGAAGUGAAACAAAAGCAGUAUGCAAAUUAGGCAAGCAGAGAGGUAAUUUGACAGAUAAGGAAGGGAAAGGAAGACAAAGGAAGUCUUUGUAUCCGUUUCCCUUAUAUAGAAAGGAUGAGUAUCUACAAUGAAGCAGAAGACGAGAAGCUAUUUCCAUUUUUGUUGCCUCAUCAAUGUCUCUUCCACAGUGCUGCAAGUUUCACCGACCAGAUGAAUAAACAAUUUUAUUUGACAGUCACCCUCAUCACUGACAAUCUCAAAACGCUGGGAGCAAGAAACAAAGAAGGUCAUCGACCCACUCCUUAUCUCCAAUCCACAGAAGAGGAAAAUAACAUAAAUUGCCAAUCCUUCAUCUCAUCCCAUCAACAAAUUAGUUGAGCCUAUCUCCAUGAAGAAAUGCAAUGGCAUAGUAAAUGACGCCAAACAGAAACCAAGUCAUGAUGAAAGUAGCAGCAAAUAAUCUUACAUACAACUCCUGAACCUCAAAACAACCAAAGGAAUUGAAGUUCUCUGUAAGCAUGACUGCGAAGUUAGUAUGCACACUCAAUGAUGCACACUGUGCAAGAUAUCCAGAUAAUAAACCGGAAAAGGAGAUUCAAAAUCUUAGUGCUGUAGACAAGAACAAUAAAGAAAAGGAGAGAGCAGCUUAUUAGAAACACUUUUUGGAGAAACUAAUAUUGCAGAGAUAAAAAAGGAAAUGUAUCUGACAGAAUGACGUGAAAAUCAUCAUAAACAAAAUAUUUUAAAAACUAAUAUAUGACACAGCAAAUCAAGAGAAUUCACUGUCUUGCCAGAUUUUGGACAGAGAAAAAUGUCCCAGAAAUUUACAAGGAUGAAUUUUUCUCUCUUCUUCCCAGGUCUUGUUCUUCUUUAAUCUCUAAACUCAGCUGAUCAUGGGUGAUUCUCUAUUAACAAGUCACUGUAUGGAUCAGAAAUAUUUGGGGGGGGGAGGGUGAGAGGAUGUUGUUUCUUAUAUGACUAUCAUUCAUAAAUGUCUUUAUCAAUGAAAGGCCAAAACUUGGAAAGUGGUACAAUAUGAACCCACAGAGAGCUUAGAACAUUUUGCUUUCAAUAUUUGUGUAACUUUCUCAAAGCUACAUAUUAUGCUAGGAAUAACUACAGCUAGGGAAUUUUCACUGUGUUAACAGACGAAGAAUUUAAUUAAUAUCUUUCAAGAAGAGGUAAUAAUCUGAA